rnacentral:rRNA from 1 species
UACGUAGGGUGCGAGCGUUGUCCGGAUUUAUUGGGCGUAAAGAGCUCGUAGGCGGUUUGUCGCGUCUGCUGUGAAAUCCCAGGGCUUAACCCCGGGCCUGCAGUCGAUACGGGCAGACUAGAGUGCGGUAGGGGAGACUGGAAUUCCUGGUGUAGCGGUGAAAUGCGCAGAUAUCAGGAGGAACACCGGUGGCGAAGGCGGGUCUCUGGGCCGUAACUGACGCUGAGGAGCGAAAGCGUGGGGAGCGAACAGGAUUAGA